rnacentral:lncRNA from 1 species
CGGCAUUGUGUAUUAUAUUUCAGGGGUGCCAGCUUGUUCUACAUUUCUCCAAAUUGAGUUUUUGGAUGGAUUGGUCAGGUGGAAUGAAGCGACUGCUGUGGCCUCAGAGGGCCUGCAGACACCUCAGUCUUACAUUGGGGUUCUUCAACAAGCUGUCGACCAGCUCGGAGAGGAAGUGCUUGGAAAGAACAUUGUGUCUACUAUCAGUACAAGUAAAUACACUAGUGAACUGAUUGGGUUAGAGUACCUGUACCAUCAGACUGGCAAAGCAAUCCAGGACAGUAGAUUUAUCAUUAGACAGAUGGAAACCACUGACGUCCAAGUGGCUAAAAGUGAGGGCUGCUGCAAACUAGAGGACAAUGGGGAUUGGACAAUCGCACAUCAACCCAUAGAAGCUUCUCCAUUGAUGACAAGCCGAGGUGCUCAGUUUCAGGGGGAAGAUCUCUUUCCUCCAAUCACUAAUUAUAUAUUUCCUUUGAUAGGAUUUCUCUGCGAGCUUUCUGUCACUUCUAUAUU